UCAAGUGCCAACGAAAGCAAGGUAUCAUUUCGUCAAAUAAUUAUAUUAGUGAGAUUUUAUCUCUAUCUUUAUUGUAUAUUAUUUUUAUCUUGAAACAUAAAGAGGGUAUAAUUUUUUAUUGACAAUGUCAUAUUUAUUUAUUUUGUCUUAUGAAAAAAGGAGAUGUGAAUUGACUUGUGAUUCCUCCAUUACAUUUACAUAUCAUUUUUGUUAUUUUAUAAGGAAGGUGUGAUUCCCUUAUUGAAAUUGAUUGCAUUUACUUAUUUUUUUCGAGGGAUGUGAUUCCUCCAUUAUAUAUACUAUCGUUUUUGAUGUUUUACUAAAGACGGGGUGUAAUUCUGCUAUUGAAAUUAUUGUGUUUAUUUUUUUUUUCAUGAGGGGUGUGAUUCUUUAUUAUAUUUUAUUUGUUUUGUGAUAUGAUCGAUGAGGUGUGAUUCCUCUAUAAGUAAUGUUAUAGUUACUUAUAUUCGUGAUGAUUUUUUUAUUUUGUAGGAAUUUGUUAUUGAUUUUUGUGAAUCGAAAUGGAUAGAUAUUUUUCUCCUCAACCAAGUUCUAGUUUUAAAGACAAUUCUCCCCAUCUUAUAGAAGAGUUUGAUGUGAAUUCACUUAAAUCCGAUCCUGGAGAAAGAAAACCAAUUCAUGAAUAUCACUCUACGAUACGAGAUCAAGUGAGAAGACACUAUAUUCAACAAGGACCUUGUCAAUCGAUUCUUUCUCAAUUUCCUC
rnacentral:lncRNA from 1 species